rnacentral:rRNA from 1 species
UACGGAGGUGGCAAGCGUUGCUCGGAAUCACUGGGCGUAAAGGGCGCGUAGGCGGGGUGGCAAGUCGGGUGUGAAAUCCCUCGGCCCAACUGAGGAACUGCGCCCGAGACUGCUUCUCUUGAGUCCCGGAGAGGAAGAUGGAAUUUCCGGUGUAGCGGUGAAAUGUGUAGAGAUCGGGAGGAACACCGGUGGCGAAGGCGGUCUUCUGGACGGUGACUGACGCUGAGGCGCGAAAGCGUGGGGAGCAAACGGG